rnacentral:misc_RNA from 1 species
GCGAGAAGUGAUAACUCGGCUAGUAGAGAGUAAUAAAUAACGAUGGUACGUCUGGUUGAGGGUCAAUAUCGAUCAGAUUAUCAAAUAAUAUACCAAAAUUGAUACAUAUGAUACAUAUGAAUGAUAUAUGUUUUGGAUAUAUUAUUUGUUAAAAUUAAUUCAUCAGGUGAUGAUGUGAUGAUAAUCAUUGAAAAAUGACAAAAAUCCCCUGAUUAAGUAUGAUAAAAAUAGUAAGUAAAAAAGGCAAAUACUUUUUACUUACAAAAUAUUUACAUAUUGGAAUAAAUAAUUUAAUCUUUCAUAUAUAUAGCUGAGAUACAUCAUAAAUAUAUAUAUAAAAAAAAAAAUAUAAAUAUUAUUAUUUUUUUUUUUGAUUAUUAUUGAUAUAAUUAUUAUGGUGCUUGUAUAACUAAAAAAAUAACAGAGAAAAAAGAAAAAUUAUAAAUAUGAGAAAAAAAACUAUAUUAUAUAAUUUUUUUUUUUUUUUUUAUCUCCACUCCCACGUAAUAACCCAUAUAAUAAAAAGCUUUCUUAACAAC